GAGAGGCACGCUACAGGCUAGAACGCCGCCGGAAGAAGCGGUGUGCUGGGGAGCGCAUGCGCACUGCGCCGGGCCGGGGGGCGGAUGGGUUUCCGCCGUAUUGGCGGCUUUUUCGGCGGGUGCUGGUGACGAGCUACCGCAUCCGGCCCGGAGGACACGGAAUUAGCCCUCCGCCUGGGAAAGGCCCUGCCAGCCCCUGCCGGCAGCUCCAGCGCCGCGGGGCUCUGAGGUCAGCGCCGCGUCGCCACGCACGGAGGAAGGUGACUCCGCAUCCUACAGAUGUAUCCUCCGUUGGGCUCCCGCGUUUGCCUCUGGCGAGUCGUGCAAGAAAUCAGUCUCCCUUCCCCGCUCGCGGGAUUUCUUGGCGGUCGCGUCGCCGGCGCUGAUGACAAGGAGCGCUUUCUGUGACGUGCAGGGCACGCGCAGGUUUCUCUCUGUGUGUGGCUUCUGCGCUGGCAAAAAUCGGGGGAUGUUUCCGCAGGCCAGGACAGGGAAUUCACGUUUUACCGGAAAUGUGGAAAUUUCCACAAGAGCAGCAAGAACAAAGGGCGGCCGAGGAGAUCGGGGAUGUUCCUGGAAAUGGUUUGUAGAAUAAAAAUUCUGAAAAAUGUUAACGUGGGUGUAGGAGCUGCUUCAUUUUGAUGCACAUCCAGCCCAACGCACGCCAAACAGCGCAACUCAACACCGCCCAACCUGAACGGUGCAGCCCAGCCCACCUCAACCCGACCCAACACAGAUGACCCAACAUGACCCAACCCAACCCAAGUGACCCGAUCCAACCCAAUCAAAGUGAUCCAACACAACUCAGCCCAACAUGAAUGAUCCAACCCAACCGAAGUGAUCCAACACAACUCAACCCAACAUGAAUGACCCAAUGCAACCCAACAGGGAUGACCCAACAUAACACAGCCCAAUGCAACACAACCCAACAAAACCCGUCAUGGAUGACACAGCACAGCAAGAUCAGAGGAAAAUCCAGAGGACUUCCAGAGAGGCCAGGGAGAGGAGGGUCCCUGGGCUGGAGCUCCAGUUGCCAGCUGGUCCUAACCUACCCCCACUGCAAGGCUGUUGUCGUGAAAUAAAACAAAACGACCUCUGCCCACCAGGACUUCCACUCUAAACAGGCCAUGAGCUGGUGAGACGGGGGGGUGUGUUGGGAACCUGAGAGCCCAGGGGUUUUUCUGGUGUGUAAUAGGGGGUUGAGCCUCUCUGCUCUUCUGAACUCUCCUUUCAUGAUGCUUACCAGGACCAAAGUCACCUCCAAGCAUCCGUCUCUUACAGGGGUAUUGGUCAGUGAUUUCAAGGGGAUUGAGGGAACGGAGCCCAGCGGGAAAACCUGGAGCAUGCAACUGUGUUAAGAAAGUGAGCCAAAGUCUGAAGCGAAGCCCCUGGUGGGGCUGCGAUCCUCCCUGCGGUGUGCGGCUGCCUGUGCAGCGCUUGAUCCGAGGGCCGUCGGAGCCAAGGGACACGCGCUGGCUGCAGCGGUGGGCUGCCCGUCGGGCUGCCUGUGGUAUCCCUGGCCUCGCUGCUCUGGCAGUACUUCUCCCUGAGGCCAAGCUCCCACUCCCAAGAAUGCAUCACAUCCCCAUGGAAACGCAAAUGCUUAUUUAUUUGACUUGUUUCAGUAAUUUAAUUUACUUCUUCCCCCCCCUUCUUUUUUUAUUUUUUUUGGUUAUUCGAAGGAAGGAAGGAAGCCCAAUCUCGGAUGUUUGUUUGUUCUCUCCUGGCUGAUAUUCCCUUGGUCGCGCUCCAGUGGCCAAUAAACUGGCAGGGAACCGGAGCGCGGAGCACGGCAGAGCCUGGGAAAGGCCGGGACCCCGCUUCCCCUGGCCUUACGUCAUGGUUUCUCUCCGAUUAGCUUGGCCCGGGGGCCGCAUGCUGCCAGCUGCCUUCGCUCCCUCUGCUCCCCCCGGGACAGGCAGCGCCUGCCUGCCAGCACCUUUGUCAUCAGCUCGCGGGACCGCUUGUGGUGGGAUGUCUGCAAGGAGAGCAUCUCCCCGCAACCCGGGUUCCCUCCGCCCUGCUCUGGUGCCAGCUGAGCCCCUGGCCCACGGAGCGGCUGGGACCGGUGGAUCACCCCUGGCUGUGGGAGCAUGGAGGGGGCGAAUCCGCAAGGGAUCUGGGCUGGGUGCGAGCUGUGCUCAUCUUACAGACCUUCACCCUCUUCAUCCAGGCAGGUUCCACCCAACCACAGGCAUCCAGUGAUGUCUGAGGCCAUUACGGACCCCAGAGAGAGGAGGAGGGGGUGCUCGCAGGUCUGAGCAAUCAGUGAGGAGCCCGUCAGGAGUGAGUCAUUAGGUUGGAAAGUCUUUCCUUCCUCCAAGCUGGAAUAUGUGCUCAACGUGGCCCCUCAGAGGCAAAUAUUUAUGGGGUAUUGAUAAUGUGCCACGGGUGAGUGAUGGGUGGGGGAGCCGGAGGCUUUGCAGUCUUCUCACUCCCUGUUUAGGGCAGGGACAUGAUUCAAAGGAAAGGGGAACAUGCAACGGGGGCUUCUUCAGCUCAGGAAACUUCUGAAGCUCUCCUGGGAAGAGCAUCUGCCCAGGGAUGCUGGGGUGUCUCUGGGAGAGGUGAGACCCUGCCUCAUUCCCCAGGGUCCCUGGGGUCAGAGACAGUGCCUGGGACUCUUUCAGGGUAAAAGAAGAUGCUGGAGGUACUGGAGGGAGAGGCAUGGUGGAAAAUGCUGGAGCAAGGAGGCAGCAGGGGUUGUCUCUCUGUUAGAAACGGAGCAUUUGCUGUCAGUGGUCUUCUCUUUGCAGCAGUGGAGGGGCCCUGAAGACACCGUUUGGGUGCUUCAGGUGUCCCCUCCUUAGGGGAGAACAGUAGGAAAUACAGGUGUCCCCCACCGCCACCCAGCUCCUGCUGAUGUCCUCAUGCAGGAGACUUGAACUUCGCCCAGCCAAGGCAACGCAGGUGGCUCCCAAACCUCCUGCCUUGUGCCCAUAACCCAGCAGCUCUUCUGCCUCUUGCUCCUCUGCCAUGGAGCAGUUUUUCUCUGAGCUCCCAGCAAAAUUCCUUAUCUGUUCCAGGAUCUCGGUGCCUUGGGGAGGUUGGAGGGGAUCGCUCAAAUGAUGCAGAGCGCCGCCAUGGGCAUCUGGCUCCAGCGGGGAGAGCGCAGGAGCUGAGGGGGAAGGUGUCUCUCUGCCCCCCUUUUGGCACAAUGUCCCUUGCCCCUCCCGUGGUCCCGGCAGCCGCUUGGCAGGCUCCCCGGCAGGCUCCCCGGCUCGGGCUCCCUUCUGACCCCAGGCGUUUGGCAAAGCGGCCACCCCGCACCGUGCCGCCUCUCGCUGCAGAGGAGGGCACUGGGCACGGGGGUCUUUCCUAGGAAGCGAGUGGGGAUGCUCUGGAGGGUGCCCGGGCUCUGUGCGAGGCCAGGUCACCCCCAGCACCGUGCGGCGCAGCAGGCACCGCGCUGGCUUGCUGCCUGCUGGCCUGGGCACUCCUUCCAGAGGAUAAUAUAUAGCUUUGAUGCUGCUAAUUGGAGCUCUUUCCCUUCACUUCCUCCUUUCAAUCUUCCUCCGCCCUCAACUCUGCAGGGUCAAUAAGUGAUUCGCAUUAAAGCAGCCUCUCCAUCGGCAGCCGGGUCUCUGCCAGAGGUGCUGGGCGGAGGGGGCUGCCUCAGCAGGGUGAGUCACCCAGACCCUCCGGGGAUGGGAGACAAACCCUUGCAGGUCUUCUCCGUCCAAACCUUCUUCUGCCACGCGGCUCUGCUGCCUUUCGCUGAGCCCCUGGGGUCCCCCUGCUCCUUCUCUGUGUCCCCACCUUGCCUCAGCCCCUGCCUCUCCCCCGUCUGAUCCUCUUGCCCCGGUCUGGCCGUCAGCAGACAGCCGCUAUCGAUUUUCCUGGGUCAGCAAAAUCCAGCAGUGAGGGGAGCGCAAGCCAGGGCCGGGCAGCGGUGACGCACGCGAUGGCAGCGCGGUUGCGUCUGCAAGGCAGGCGCGAGGAUGACGGGGGAGCCGUCUGGGGAGAGCUGUCACGGUCCCCCAGGUCCCCACCAGCGCUGCGCCCCAUUUUCUGUGAGACUUGGGUGGCUCUUCGUGCCCUGUGCCCUGAGCAGCCCUGGUUCAUGAGAUCCAGUGGUGGGGACAUGCAGCUUCUCCAUGGGACCCCUCUGGAAACCCUUCAGUGGGGAAGCCAGAAACCCUCAGCCCUGCCUGCUUCGGGGAUGAACGGUCCUUUGCUUUCUCCAAGCAGACCCGUGUGCAUCCGGACAUGAUUUUCCCAGGGAGCCCGUGAUUUUCUCAAGCCCAUUCCCAGCUGAAAUCCCACAUGUACCCCUGAGCUGCCUGGGCACACCAGCAGCGGGGGAGAAGCUACAUCCAGCGUCAAGGCUGGAUCAUUGCCCUCCUUCCAGCCUGCUCGGUGAUGACCCCCAGAGAAGAUGCUUUGGAUGGUGGUGUCUUGGAAAGCCGUGGCCAACCUCUUCCUCUGGCUGUGCCCUGGGGGUCUUCCACACCUCCCAUCACAUGGGGGUGGGAAGGAUCCUUCCCAAAUUACUGCAGACUAACAAUAAGCCAUUGCACCUCUCAGAAGGGGUAAACUGAGUCAGGAAUUGCAAACUGACUGAA